GUGCUAUACAUGCAGUCGAGCGGACAGAAGGGAGCUUGCUCCCGGAUGUUAGCGGCGGACGGGUGAGUAACACGUGGGUAACCUGCCUGUAAGACUGGGAUAACUCCGGGAAACCGGAGCUAAUACCGGAUAGUUCCUUGAACCGCAUGGUUCAAGGAUGAAAGACGGUUUCGGCUGUCACUUACAGAUGGACCCGCGGCGCAUUAGCUAGUUGGUGGGGUAAUGGCUCACCAAGGCGACGAUGCGUAGCCGACCUGAGAGGGUGAUCGGCCACACUGGGACUGAGACACGGCCCAGACUCCUACGGGAGGCAGCAGUAGGGAAUCUUCCGCAAUGGACGAAAGUCUGACGGAGCAACGCCGCGUGAGUGAUGAAGGUUUUCGGAUCGUAAAGCUCUGUUGUUAGGGAAGAACAAGUGCGAGAGUAACUGCUCGCACCUUGACGGUACCUAACCAGAAAGCCACGGCUAACUACGUGCCAGCAGCCGCGGUAAUACGUAGGUGGCAAGCGUUGUCCGGAAUUAUUGGGCGUAAAGGGCUCGCAGGCGGUUUCUUAAGUCUGAUGUGAAAGCCCCCGGCUCAACCGGGGAGGGUCAUUGGAAACUGGGAAACUUGAGUGCAGAAGAGGAGAGUGGAAUUCCACGUGUAGCGGUGAAAUGCGUAGAGAUGUGGAGGAACACCAGUGGCGAAGGCGACUCUCUGGUCUGUAACUGACGCUGAGGAGCGAAAGCGUGGGGAGCGAACAGGAUUAGAUACCCUGGUAGUCCACGCCGUAAACGAUGAGUGCUAAGUGUUAGGGGGUUUCCGCCCCUUAGUGCUGCAGCUAACGCAUUAAGCACUCCGCCUGGGGAGUACGGUCGCAAGACUGAAAC
rnacentral:rRNA from 1 species